GUAGUCCGCACGGUAAACGAUGGAUGCCCGCUGUCGGCGACACACUGUCGGCGGCCAAGCGAAAGCGUUAAGCAUCCCACCUGGGGAGUACGCCGGCAACGGUGAAACUCAAAGGAAUUGACGGGGGCCCGCACAAGCGGAGGAACAUGUGGUUUAAUUCGAUGAUACGCGAGGAACCUUACCCGGGCUUGAACUGCAGCAGAACGAUUCAGAGAUGAUGAGGCCCUUCGGGGCUGCUGUGGAGGUGCUGCAUGGUUGUCGUCAGCUCGUGCCGUGAGGUGUCGGCUUAAGUGCCAUAACGAGCGCAACCCUUUCCUUCAGUUGCCAUCAGGUAGAGCUGGGCACUCUGU
rnacentral:rRNA from 1 species